rnacentral:misc_RNA from 1 species
CUUGAUUUUCAAAUCUGAUUUCUGCAUUAUUUUAUUUUCGAAUUGGAUAGACUAUAAUAUUUAUUACACAGAAUCUUCAAAUAGAACUACAUUAUUGGUACAAUAAAUUUCUAAUUACAGAACUAAUAUAUUACUUCAUCAAUUAGGAUAAAUAAGACCCACUUUGCUCAUCUUCAAACUGCAGACAUUCCAACUCUCCAGAUUUGAAAAUCAGCAGCAUAUGCAAUUUUGAAUGAAGGGGAAAAAAAUGCAUCCAAAGAUGCUAAAAAAGGCCACAUAGAAUUAAGGACACCUGAUGGACCUGCUGAUGAUAUUCU